rnacentral:rRNA from 1 species
GAUGAACGCUGGCGGCGUGCCUAAUACAUGCCAGUCGAGCGAACAGACGAGGAGCUUGCUCCUCUGACGUUAGCGGCGGACGGGUGAGUAACACGUGGAUAACCUACCUAUAAGACUGGGAUAACUUCGGGAAACCGGAGCUAAUACCGGAUAAUAUAUUGAACCGCAUGGUUCAAUAGUGAAAGACGGUUUUGCUGUCACUUAUAGAUGGAUCCGCGCCGCAUUAGCUAGUUGGUAAGGUAACGGCUUAACAAGGCAACGAUGCGUAGCAGACCUGAGAGGGUGAUCGGCCACCCGGGAAGUGAGGCACGGUCCAGACUCCUACGGGAGGCAGCAGUAGGGAAUCUUCCGCAAUGGACGAAAGCCUGACGGAGCAACGCCGCGUGAGUGAUGAAGGUCUUCGGAUCGUAAAACUCUGUUAUUAGGGAAGAACAAAUGUGUAAGUAACUAUGCACGUCUUGACGGUACCUAAUCAGAAAGCCACGGCUAACUACGUG